CAUGCGAAGACAGGUAGACCAGGUCCAAGUCCCGGGGGCUCAAGGCAUCACUGGAGUCAUAGUCGCUGUCCGUGGGGAGGAAGACUUCCGAGCAGGCUUCUUCAUCCGAGCAGGGUUGCGACUCUACAAAGCCAGAGACAGAUUUUAGAAAAAGACACUCUCAGCUAGCGCCUGCCUCCCGCUCUGAUCAGUGUUUCCAGCCACUUUCUAGAAUGAAUACCUCAGGACAAAGAACCAUAUCAGCAGAGAGAGGAUCAAGAAUCAGUGUGGACCCAGGGACGAAGCUGUUUUGGUAGGUAGUUCUCCAUGCUGCAAGACAAUCUGCCGAAUGGAAAAGUGUUUGAUCCACACACGGUGGAACCGAAAGGCCUCUGAUGAUCAGGCAACUUAGUCACAGCCAAGCUCUCCCAGAAGAUGAAUUUGAAAUGAGAAUAUGUAUUAGAAAGCAAAUGAGUUUCAAGUUAAAAUGUUGCCCUGUCCACAGUGAGUACUUGGUUUUGAUCCUUCAUAUUUUUAAUUUCUCAUGUGCCAUAUUUACUCUCACUCUUAAGUCAUUUCCUCCUCCAUGCUUUUGCUGGCAAACUCUAGCUUUCUUCUCUCUGGAAAGGCUGGGAUUUACUUGUCUUAAGCUCAAACAAAUGGAGCCAUUACCCCCUGCA